rnacentral:rRNA from 1 species
UACAGAGGGGGCAAGCGUUGUUCGGAAUUACUGGGCGUAAAGGGCGCGUAGGCGGCCUUCUAAGUCGAACGUGAAAUCCCCGGGCUCAACCCGGGAACUGCGUCCGAUACUGGAAGGCUUGAAUCCGGGAGAGGGAUGUGGAAUUCCCGGUGUAGCGGUGAAAUGCGUAGAUAUCGGGAAGAACACCGGUGGCGAAGGCGCUCUGCUGGACUGCAACUGACACUCAGGGACGAAAGCUAGGGGAGCGAAUGGG